UUGCUUGCACAGUGGCAGUAUCAUAGCCAAUGAGAUCUAUCCAAGGCGUGAUUAUUGCUAAUUGAAAACUGAAGGCAGUAGUGACCUUUGGGGGUUCUGGAGCUAGAUGUUGCUGUCCUCUGCUACUAGG
rnacentral:snRNA from 1 species